rnacentral:rRNA from 1 species
UAGGGAAUCUUGCGCAAUGGGCGAAAGCCUGACGCAGCCAUGCCGCGUGAAUGAUGAAGGUCUUAGGAUUGUAAAAUUCUUUCACCGGGGAAGAUAAUGACGGUACCCGGAGAAGAAGCCCCGGCUAACUUCGUGCCAGCAGCCGCGGUAAUACGAAGGGGGCUAGCGUUGCUCGGAAUUACUGGGCGUAAAGGGCGCGUAGGCGGAUAUUUAAGUUGGGGGUGAAAGCCCGGGGGCUCAACCUCGGAAUAGCCUUCAAUACUGGAUAUCUUGAGUUCGGGAGAGGUNAGUGGAAUGCCGAGUGUAGAGGUGAAAUUCGUAGAUAUUCGGCGGAACACCAGUGGCGAAGGCGACUCACUGGCCCGAUACUGACGCUGAGGCGCGAAAGCGUGGGGAGCAACAGGAUUAGAUACCCUGGUAGUCCACGCCGUAAACGAUGAGUGCUAGUUGUCGGCAUGCAUGCAUGUCGGUGACGCAGCUAACGCAUUAAGCACUCCGCCUGGGGGAGUACGGGUCGCAAGAUUAAAAACUCAAAUGAAUUGACGGGGGUCAUAGCUGUUUCCUG